UACGUAGGUGGCAAGCGUUAUCCGGAUUUAUUGGGCGUAAAGAGAACGCAGGCGGUCUUUUAAGUCUGAUGUGAAAGCCUUCGGCUUAACCGGAGUAGUGCAUUGGAAACUGGGAGACUUGAGUGCAGAAGAGGAGAGUGGAACUCCAUGUGUAGCGGUGAAAUGCGUAGAUAUAUGGAAGAACACCAGCGGCGAAAGCGGCUCUCUGGUCUGUAACUGACGCUGAGGUUCGAAAGCGUGGGUAGCAAACAGG
rnacentral:rRNA from 1 species